rnacentral:tRNA from 1 species
GCCUCUUUGGCAUUGCGGUCAAAGCUGCAGUUUGGUAACCCGUAGACCCAGGUUCGAGGCCGGGUGGGGUG